rnacentral:rRNA from 1 species
AUUGAACGCUGGCGGCAUGCCUUACACAUGCAAGUCGAACGGCAGCACGGACUUCGGUCUGGUGGCGAGUGGCGAACGGGUGAGUAAUAUAUCGGAACAUACCUUGUAGUGGGGGAUAACUAUCCGAAAGGAUAGCUAAUACCGCAUACGCUCUAAGGAGGAAAGUGGGGGAUCGCAAGACCUCAUGCUAUAAGAGUGGCCGAUAUCUGAUUAGCUAGUUGGUGAGGUAAAGGCUCACCAAGGCGACGAUCAGUAGCUGGUCUGAGAGGACGACCAGCCACACGGGAACUGAGACACGGUCCAGACGCCUACGGGAGACAGCAGUGGGGAAUUUUGGACAAUGGGGGCAACCCUGAUCCAGCAAUGCCGCGUGAGUGAAGAAGGCCUUCGGGUUGUAAAGCUCUUUUGUCAGGGAAGAAACGGUUGUGGCUAAUAUCCAUGGCUAAUGACGGUACCUGAAGAAUAAGCACCGGCUAACUACGUGCCAGCCGCCGCCGUAAGAC